CCUACGGGUGGCAGCAGUAGGGAAUAUUGCUCAAUGGGGGAAACCCUGAAGCAGCAAUGCCGCGUGGAUGAUGAAGGUUUUCGGAUUGUAAACUCCUUUUGUUAGAGAAGAUAAUGAUGGUAUUUAUCGAAUAAUCACUGGCCAACUCCGUGCCAGCAGCCGCGGUAAUACGGAGGGUGCAAGCGUUACUCGGAAGCACUGGGCGUAAAGAGCACGUAGGCGGGUUAGCAAGUCAGAUGUGAAAUCCUAUGGUUUAACCAUAGAACUGCAUUUGAAACUGUUAUUCUAGAGUAUGGGAGAGGUAGGUGGAAUUCUAGGUGUAGGGGUAAAAUGCGUAGAGAUCAAGAGGAAUAC
rnacentral:rRNA from 1 species